rnacentral:rRNA from 1 species
GGAUUAGAUACCCUGGUAGUCCACACCGUAAACGAUGAGAGCUAGUUGUCGGCAGGCAUGCCUGUCGGUGACGCAGCUAACGCAUUAAGCUCUCCGCCUGGGGAGUACGGCCGCAAGGUUAAAACUCAAAGAAAUUGACGGGGGCCCGCACAAGCGGUGGAGCAUGUGGUUUAAUUCGAAGCAACGCGCAGAACCUUACCUACCCUUGACAUGCCUGCAUAACCAACUGGAGACAGUUGGCCUCCUUCGGGAGCGGUGCACAGGUGCUGCAUGGCUGUCGUCAGCUCGUGCCG